GUACAGUGAGACAAAACGAUGACCGCACUGACGGCGAAUCCUUCAGAGAUGAUUGUUUAUAUCUGCGUCCUUUUUGUACAAUAGAGUACAGAAUACAUCCUGUGUCCAACUAAUGCAGAGUAUAUUCAAGCUGCCAACACACUGAUGUGAAGAACCCUUUCCAGAGAAAUAUAGAAAGAAAUGACUGUGAAGCUUGUGUUGGGG